rnacentral:rRNA from 1 species
GUAAUUCCAGCUCCAAUAGCGUAUAUUAAAGUUGUUGCAGUUAAAAAGCUCGUAGUUGAACUUUGGGUCUGGGUGACUGGUCUGCUCUACCGCAUGUACUGGAAACCCGGAUCUUUCCUUCUGGAGAACCGCAUGCACUUUACUGGGUGUGCCGGGGAACCAGGACUUUUACUUUGAAAAAAUUAGAGUGUUCAAAGCAGGCAUUUGCUCGAAUACAUUAGCAUGGAAUAAUAAAAUAGGACGUGCGGUUCUAUUUUGUUGGUUUCUAGGACCGCCGUAAUGAUUAAUAGGGAUAGUCGGGGGCAUCCGUAUUCGAUUGUCAGAGGUGAAAUUCUUGGAUUUUUCGAAGACGAACUACUGCGAAAGCAUUUGCCAAGGAUGUUUUCAUUAAUCAGGAACGAAAGUUGAGGGAUCGAAGACGAUCAGAUACCGUCGUAGUCUCAACCAUAAACUAUGCCGACUAGGGAUUGGGCGAUGUGUUAUUUGAGUUGCUCAGCACCUUACGAGAAAUUAAAGUUUUUGGGUUCUGGGGGGAGUAUGGUCGCAAGGCUGAAACUUAAAGGAAUUGACG